rnacentral:rRNA from 1 species
UCCUACGGGAGGCAGCAGUGGGGAAUAUUGCACAAUGGGCGCAAGCCUGAUGCAGCGACGCCGCGUGAGGGAUGGAGGCCUUCGGGUUGUAAACCUCUUUCGCCAGUGAAGCAGGCCUGUCCCUUUUGUGGGUGGGUUGACGGUAGCUGGAUAAGAAGCGCCGGCUAACUACGUGCCAGCAGCCGCGGUAAUACGUAGGGCGCGAGCGUUGUCCGGAAUUAUUGGGCGUAAAGAGCUCGUAGGCGGCUGGUCGCGUCUGUCGUGAAAUCCUCUGGCUUAACUGGGGGCUUGCGGUGGGUACGGGCCGGCUUGAGUGCGGUAGGGGAGACUGGAACUCCUGGUGUAGCGGUGGAAUGCGCAGAUAUCAGGAAGAACACCGGUGGCGAAGGCGGGUCUCUGGGCCGUUACUGACGCUGAGGAGCGAAAGCGUGGGGAGCGAACAGGAUUAGAUACCUGGGUAGUCC